UUUAUAUAUUAUACGUGAUGCAUAAAAUAAUAAAAAUAAAUAUAAAUGACUUCGAACGUUUUGUUUGAGUUUUUUAUUUUUAUGUCUUGAUAAGUCAACUGAUUGGUUAUACAAUGGAGAUGUAUGCAAAUUUACUUUCAUCUUUAAAACCAUUCAGUGUUAAAUUGAGAUAACAAAUGAAUACA